rnacentral:rRNA from 1 species
AGUUGGAUGUCUGACAUGAUGGGCCUGGCCUAGGAGCCUUCGGGCUGUUAUUGUGCUGGUUUAUGGGCGUUGGUCAUGGUUCUCCCUUCAUGGUGAGAUCGGGCUGGCGUUCGCUCAUCGGUCAUCCUUGAUCAGAAUCUCUCUACCAUUAACUUGGACGGGGAGACGAUGGUCAUCAUUUACUUUGAGAAAAUUAGAGUGUUUAAGGCAGACAUUUGUCGUGAAUACAUUAGCAUGGAAUAAUAAGAUAGGACUUCGGCACUGCCGCUGUUGCUUUCGGGCGACUGGCGUUCUAUUUUGUUGGUUUCUAGAGCUGAAGUAAUGAUUGAUAGGGAUAGUUGGGGGCGCUCGUAUUGCUUGGCCAGAGGUGAAAUUCUCGGAUUCAAGUAAGACGAACUAAUGCGAAAGCAUCCGUCAAGGAUAUCCUCUUUAAUCAAGAACGAAAGUUGGGGGAUCGAAGACGAUCAGAUACCGUCGUAGUCUCAACCAUAAACGAUGCCGACUAGGGAUUGGACGAUGUCGCAUUUAAAGACUCGUUCAGCACCUUAUUCGAGAAAUCAUAAGUCUUCGGGUUCUGGGGGGAGUACGGUCGCAGGGCUGAAACUUAAAGGAAUUGACGGAAGGGCACCACCAGGAGUGGAGCCUGCGGUUUAAUUUGACUCAACACGGGGAAACUUACCAGGUCAAAACAUGG